rnacentral:tRNA from 1 species
GCCCCGAUGGUGAAAUCGGCAUACACAUCGCACUUAAAAUGCGCCGCCGCAAGGCAUCCCGGUUCAAGUCCGGGUCGGGGCACCA